GCCAACUUCAGGUCUCCUUCAAGUUUCCUCUUAGCUCUCUCGAGGUCCAUGCGCAGCUUCUUCUCUUGCUCCAGGGACCCUUCCAGAUCGUCUACUUGCUGCUCCAGCUUGGUUUUAGCUUUGGUCAGCGUAUUGACUUUGUCCUCUUCAGCCUGCAGGUCAUCCAGUGUCUGCUGAUGGGCCUCUUGGAGGGCUUUCUUCUCUUUUGUCAGCUUGGCAAUGUUCUCGUCCAAGGCUGCCAUCUCCUCUGUGAGGUUUUUCACCUUGUUUUCAGUGGCAUGCUUUUCCUUCUCAACUUUGGCCAGUGUUAACUCCAGGUCAUC
rnacentral:lncRNA from 1 species